rnacentral:rRNA from 1 species
UCGAGAAUCUUUCGCAAUGCCCGAAAGGGUGACGAAGCGACGCCGCGUGCGGGAAGAAGGCCUUCGGGUUGUAAACCGCUGUCGGGAGUUAGGAAGUGCAAGGAUGUUAAUAGCGUUCUUGCUUGACUAAGGCUCCGGAGGAAGCCACGGCUAACUCUGUGCCAGCAGCCGCGGUAAUACAGAGGCGGCAAGCGUUGUUCGGAAUUAUUGGGCGUAAAGAGCACGUAGGCGGCUGUGUAAGUCGGUUGUGAAAGCCUUCCGCUUAACGGAAGAACGGCAUCCGAUACUGCAUAGCUUGAGUGCGGGAGGGGAGAGUGGAACUUCUGGUGGAGCGGUGAAAUGCGUAGAUAUCAGAAGGAACACCGGCGGCGAAGGCGACUCUCUGGUCCGUAACUGACGCUGAGUGUGCGAAAGCUAGGGGAGCAAACGGGAUUAGAUACCCCGGUAGUCCUAGCCGUAAACGAUGGG